AAGAACAAAAGGUAUUUUAAUAACCGAGCAGCUGCGGCAUUCUUCGUUUUGCCGCAUGUUGCUGUGUGAAGGAAGCCCCACAAACUUUUGGUAGAUCAAUUCUUCAUUUCUUUAGGAACGUAGAUUGUUCUACCGACAGAGGUUGAUGGUUCUAUAUGGAUAAAGUACUGCGUUUUUUAAAGUAUCCCCCUGCAGAAUCCUACCAUUAAAUGGUCAGCAUUUCCACAACCUAAAUUAAUGGCAUGGCUAAACCUGACCACAAUUAAAGGUUACCCGCAUCAAAUGUCUGUUUUACAGGCAUGGCUAACCAUUGCCGUCAUUUUAAGUUUACCCUCAGCAAGUGCCUUUUUCAUGAAUAUACACACAACGCAAAAAAAAAAAAA
rnacentral:sRNA from 1 species